UUUUCUGAGAGUUUGAUCCUGGCUCAGGAUUAACGCUGGCGGCAUGCAUAACACAUGCAAGUUGGACGAGGGUAGCAAUACCCGAGUAGCGAACGGGUGAGUGACACGUAUCUAAUCUUCUCUUUAGUGGGGGAUACCCAGUUGAAAAACUGAUUAAUACCGCAUGAGUUGUUACGAUUGCAUGAUUGUAACAAGAAAGAACCGUUUGGUUCGCUGUUGAAUGAAGGUGCGGCUUAUCAGCUUGUUGGUUGAGGUAAUGGCUCACCAAGGCGAUGACGAGGAGCUAUGCUGAGAGGUAGAAUAGCCACAAGGGGACUGAGACACGGCCCCUACUCCUACGGGAGGCAGCAGUGGGGAAUUUUUCACAAUGGGCGAAAGCCUGAUGGAGCAAUGCCGCGUGGAUGAUGAAGGUUCGUUUCGAAUUGUAAAAUCCUUUUAUUUGGGAAGAAUGAUGCUGAAAGGAAAUGUUCGGCAUUUGACGGUACCAUUUUGAAUAAGUAACGACUAACUAUGUGCCAGCAGUCGCGGUAAUACAUAGGUUGCAAGCGUUAUCCGGAUUCAUUGGGCGUAAAGCGAGCGCAGGCGGCUGGGCAAGUCUGGUGUUAAAUAUUGCAGCUUAACUGUAAUUUGCAUUGGAAACUGUCCGGCUAGAGUGCGGUAGAGAGUUCUGGAACUCCGUGUGGAGCGGUGAAAUGCUUAGAUAUAU
rnacentral:ncRNA from 1 species